GGGUCGAUGCCCGAGUGGUUAAUGGGGGUGGAUUGUAAAUCCAUUGGCUUGCCUACGCUGGUUCAAAUCCAGCUCGGCCCAA
rnacentral:tRNA from 1 species